rnacentral:rRNA from 1 species
GUCGCACGAGAAAGGGGCUUCGGCCCUGAGUACAGUGGCGCACGGGUGAGUAACACGUGAAUUAUCUACCUCCGAGUGGGGAAUAACUGAGAGAAAUCUUAGCUAAUACCGCAUAACACUUACGAGUCAAAGCAGCAAUGCGCUUGGAGAGGAGUUCGCGGCCGAUUAGUUAGUUGGCGGGGUAAUGGCCCACCAAGACGAUGAUCGGUAUCCGGCCUGAGAGGGCGCACGGACACACUGGAACUGAAACACGGUCCAGACUCCUACGGGAGGCAGCAGUGGGGAAUUUUGCGCAAUGGGGGAAACCCUGACGCAGCAACGCCGCGUGGAGGAUGAAAUAUCUUGGUAUGUAAACUCCUUUCGAUGGGGAAGAUUAUGACGGUACCCAUAGAAGAAGCCCCGGCUAACUUCGUGCCAGCAGCCGCGGUAAUACGAGGGGGGCAAGCGUUGUUCGGAUUUAUUGGGCGUAAAGGGUGCGUAGGCGGUUUGGCAAGUCUUGUGUGAAAUCUUUGGGCUCAACCCAAAGUCUGCACAAGAAACUGCCGGGCUUGAGUAUGGGAGAGGUGAGUGGAAUUUCCGGUGUAGCGGUGAAAUGCGUAGAUAUCGGAAGGAACACCUGUGGCGAAAGCGGCUCACUGGACCAUUACUGACGCUGAGGCACGAAAGCU